AAGGAGGAAUCCGCUUUGAGAUGGACUCGCGUCCAAUUAGCUAGUUGGUGAGGUAACGGCCCACCAAGGCGACGAUUGGUAGCCGGACUGAGAGGUUGAACGGCCACAUUGGGACUGAGACACGGCCCAGACUCCUACGGGAGGCAGCAGUGGGGAAUAUUGCACAAUGGGGGGAACCCUGAUGCAGCGACGCCGCGUGAGGGAAGAAGGUUUUCGGAUUGUAAACCUCUGUCCUUGGUGACGAUAAUGACGGUAGCCAAGGAGGAAGCCACGGCUAACUAC
rnacentral:rRNA from 1 species